GCCAUCGUUGCACAAUGGUAGUGCGUUGCUUUCCUACAACAUCUGUGAGAUGGUGUGAGGCAGAGGUUGCGGGUUCGAGUCCCGUCGAUGGUU